GGAUUAGGCAUGCAAGUCGAACGAGAAAGUACUCUUCGGGGUGCGAGUAAAGUGGCGAAAGGGUGAGUAAUAUACGGAUGACUUACCCUCGAGACGGGGAUAACAGCUCGAAAGGGCUGCUAAUACCCGAUGGUUCUCAUGAUUUACGGAUCAUUAGAUAAAUGGUGCUUCCGCUCGAGGAGAGGUCCAUGUCCUAUCAGCUUGUUGGUGAGGUAACGGCACCAAGGCUCUGACGGGUAGCCGGACUGAGAGGUUGGCCGGUCACACUGGGACUGAGACACUGCCCAGACUCCUACGGGAGGCUGCAGUCGAGAAUCUUCCGCAAUGGGCGCAAGCCUGACGGAGCGACGCCGCGUGCAGGAGGAAGGCCUUCGGGUUGUAAACUGCUGUCACACGUUAUGAAAUGUUACGGUCCACCGUAAUUUGACAAAGGCGUGAGAGGAAGUCACGGCUAACUUCGUGCCAGCAGCCGCGGUAAAACGAAGGUGGCAAGCGUUGUUCGGAAUUACUGGGCAUAAAGAGCGCGUAGGUGGUUUCGUGUGUCGAUGGUGAAAUCCUGCAGCUCAACUGUAGAACUGCCAUCGAAACUAUGAAGCUAGAGGACAGGAGGGGAGAGUGGAAUUCCUAGUGUAGCGGUGAAAUGCGUAGAUAUUAGGAGGAACGCCGGUGGCGAAAGCGACUCUCUGGACUGUUUCUGACACUGAGGCGCGAAAGCUAGGGGAGCAAACAGGAUUAGAUACCCUGGUAGUCCUAGCUGUAAACGAUGGGCACUAGGCAAAGGAGGUUCCGAUGCCGUCUUUGCCGUAGCUAAUGCGUUAAGUGCCCCGCCUGGGGAGUAUGGUCGCAAGGCUAAAACUCAAAGGAAUUGACGGGGGCUCACACAAGCGG
rnacentral:rRNA from 1 species